rnacentral:lncRNA from 1 species
UUCCCAAGACCAUAACUUGCUCAAUUUUUAUGAGAUGAAAUCCAUUCAAAUUCCAUAAUCAAAUUCAAGAUGUAUAAUUCAACUCUGAUGUUUGAAGGAAGUUCAAAUUCAACUUUCAAAUGCAUGUGCCAAGAGGAAACAUUAUAUGUCAUUUUGGGUCAAUACCAUUGAACAAGUGAUUUUCCUCAACUUCUAAAAUGCAUAACUUCUUAAUGACAAAUCCAAAUUAGGUCAAAUUUAU